UUCACUGUUUGUCAGUUUAGCUGCCUGUUGUAAGGGAAAUCAGAAGUUUCUGAGGAAAACAGAAGGGUCUGAAAAGAUGCACAGGCUGGUCCUGGGGCAGCGUCCCUGCUGUGACAGCUGGUUCAGGAGUGAAAUUAAUGUGAGCAGUCCCAUCACAGCCACGGCCCAAACUGUUCUGGCAGGACUUAGCAAGGUGAAAUAACCAAGCAGCUCCUCUGCCUGGCAAAGAACUCAGCAUCUACCAAGGUGGGAGGUGUUGGUUUGACCUUAUGGACUUACUUUUAAUCAGUGAUGGGAUGACUGAGGACAAAUGUGUUCACUCACAAAUUUCACACAAGUCUGCUAAUGCAAGCCUCUGGAACACACAUUCUGUAUAAAUCCCACCAGAAGGGGGCUUGCUGGAAGCAGCGAGACCAGCUGAACCCAUCAGGACCGCUGCUGCCUGCAACUGUGUGUGACGGAGUGCAGCCUCUCUUUUGAGAUAGAUACUGGUCUUGGGUGCUCGUAUCCCUGGGGUCUGAUUCUGCAAACAGGUACAGCAUGCAGACUCGACCCAAAUACAAGGCACCUGAAAGCUAAAUAUAAGUGCUACUUAAUAAAUAGCACCCCUGCAAGGAUCACUUGCUUCUAAGGAGACAGAAUUAACGGGGUUUUAGUCCCAAUCUGGAAGUUCACGAAGUGUUUUUUUUGUAUGUGAACAGUCCCGUUGAAAUCACUGGGAUCAACUACCAAGGUCAAAGCAACAUUUGCAUCUGCCACUGAUCUGAAGCCUACUGCAGAUGUUUGCCUAGAGCUUGGUUUUUCAGAUUGCAUGCUUUUGUUGACUUUGAUAGGAUUAUUUGCCCCAAUUUAGUGCAUGGUGGGCCAUUAUGUGUGGGUCUGGGCUUUAAUCUGCUAGCAGAUGCCUCUGUUCCCAUUCCUCCCCCUAUCCCUGUACUACAGAUUUCACCUUCUUGCAUUAGGUGUACUCAAACCUGCUGCAAAAUGUGUUGUGCACUCACAGUCACAGCUGAAAAAUCAUAGUGCUUAUCCUGUGCUUGAGAGCCUUUAUAGAAAUGUGGAGCUACAGCAGGAUGACUGAAACUGGUAUGGUUAUGAAGCUGCCUAACUAACAAAUUAUUUAAAUGGUAUGGGUUUAUAUAUAUAUAAUAUAUAUAUAUAUAUUUGCUUGCAUUUGGGUUAUAUUGCUGCCACUGAACUCAUGCUUUAUGAUGAAAACUAACAUAUAUUUAGGCUUAACUACAUGUAAUCACUUCUUAAAUACUGUUUUUUUGUUUUUGUUUUUUAUGAUGCUACUUGAAUCAGCAUAAGUAUGGAGUCAAAGUAUCAUUUGGAACAGAGGACUAGGAAAAUAAUUCUACCAAAAAAUUAGCAUGCUGGCCAAAAACAUGUGGUCAUAUUGAUUGCAAUCAGUAACACCCAAAGAUUUUAAGACUGAAGUCACACCAAAAGAAGAAGUAAACACUGUCCCUGUCUGCUGGCAAUAUUCUGCUUUCAGCUGCUGUUAUCAUUUCAAAAUAAUCCUCAUCUGAGUGGAAGAGAAUUCCUUGUGCUGCACCUCAGCAUGGAUGCUGUCCGCUUGUUCUUCCAUGUGAUGCCUAUCACAGAGGAAGAAGCUGAAGGAACUCACUGCAUGUGUUCUCCUGUCCUACCAAGUGCAGAAAUCCCUUUCAGAGCAGUCCUGUACGGUCACAAAACUGUACUCAGUUAAAAGAUUAUUGUGACAUUAUUAUUAGAAAUAGCUGCAGCAACGACUUGCCAAAUGAACCAUUAAAAGAAAACCAGGUUCACUGAACCACAACAAAAUUCAUUAGAGCUCGCUUUGGGCAACAUACGGUCUUUGAAGGUCUUUAUCUUUUUAACUUCUCUUCCAGCGUCUGUGGCAAAGCCCUCCGCCUCUCUUUUUAUUUCAUUUGAAUGUAAAUACUCAUUUCCAAUAAUGCACAUUUCCUUUAUUGACAAGCUCAUUUGGCAGUGUGUCACUGGUAAAUCAGGCAAUCUGCCGACAUACAGAAAUGUGAACGGCAAAAAAACAAACAAAAAAACAUGCACACAAAAAAAAAUAACUUUAUACUGUUAGCGUGAAUGAUAAAUUCUUUAUGCUUGGGGAACACUGGUUAUGACCUUUUGGCUGUUGCUUUCACUCUUUAGCUGAGUGUUUGCUGGUCUUCAGUCUCAAGUUUCACCGAUCCUAAACAACUUUUAUUUCAGAUGACAAAAGAGGAGGUCCGAACCUGAUUCCUCUAAAUGGAGGACUCACAAUUGGAGCCCACUGUGUAAAAUACAGGCAGUAGCUUGCCUGUGUCUCGGAGCAUAUGCCAACACUGCCGUCUAGCUUCUGCAGAGGUUGUUGCAUGCUUUUGCUUCAUUCUAGCUGAUUACAUUCACGUGCGAGGCAGUGUUACAGAGAGCCACCUGUAGUGGCUGGGGCAUCAUAACAUGGGCUUCUGUUCUCAGACAGGGUCCUCUGACAUGCCACCCUCCGCUGGUCUCAGUGUUGUCUUCCAUUUGCUGUUCCUCUCUCCUGUCCUUAAUCUGUGUCUCACGGUAUACCAUGCAUACAAUUAUUUUUUUCUCUUUCACCACAAAAAUCUGAAGUUCUGUCUUUAGGACUACGGGCAUUUUAUAUAUAGUCACCACUGGGAUUUUAAAAGGUUUUUAGGCUUCCAUUUACCAUGCUAUAAGCUUGUGUAUAUUUACCAAAAUCCGUAUUUAUACAGUUUUUAGGCUACAGGUAGUGUUGCAUAAAAAGUAGGCAAGAAAAUAGAAAGCAAAUACUUAUUAUUAAGACAACAGGGAUCUGUUACACUGUGGCUUGAACUUGUGUAAUUCCUCCAUUUUCAAGCAAUCUAUAAUGCAGGAAUUAAGCCAUUACGUUCCAGCUUCCUUGCUGCUGUAAUUCGAGAGAAACUGAUUAUCAUUGGUAGAUUAAGGUGAUUUGAGGUAGAAUUCAGCCCACAGUUUCCUGUUUGGCUGAUUAUUUUGUUUCCAUUUCUUGACUUUCUUCCAUUAGCCUUCAUUCAAUAAUUCAGCUACAGCACUAGCUAUCCCUACAUAUUCCUGUCAACCUUAUAAUUAACAUGUAUCCAUGGGUACUGCCUCACAUUAGUGAAGCAAGGUCGUAUUUGAAGGGGAAUCUUUUGUAUCGGUUGAAGCAGCUGUUAUUGUGGCUGCAUACCUGGAUGAAUCAAUUAAUCAUUUCAUUAAGCUAAAGUGCCUCUUAGCGAUGCUAAUCAAAAGCACGCUGAUCACAAUUUUCCCAAACAACCCCCUGAAACCUAAACCAACAAACAAAACACUUUGUGACUAACAAACAAGCUUUGCUGUCAUAAACAGGCUAAGCUUUAUUUAACAUAAUCAUAAUAAGAUCUGAAGGGGAUUUCAUUGGCAUUAUGAAUAUGUUCCUUUAGGGAUGAUACGCAUUAGCAAAACAGCCAUCCCUGGCGAUUGCAUCUGAAUGGUUAAUGCUGCUUAAAGCUUAAAGUAGGGUUUUUAUUUGCUAUACCAUUUUGGACAGGAAACAUUUUCUGAUCUUCACUGCAUUUUUGUGGGUGAGGAGAGUCCUGGCCCUUUCUGCGACACCCCCAGUGCAAGCUGAGGGGUUUUGCACGUGCUGCUCCUUGAUUUCCACAGGCAAGGACAGGAGAGCAAGCCAAGCAGAGUUUGAAAGGGAAGGG